CAGUCGCCACGGGAAAACGAAGGGGGCCAGCGUUGCUCGGAAUGACUGGGCGUAAAGGGCGCGUAGGCGGUUUCUUAAGUCUGAUGUGAAAGCCCCCGGCUCAACCGGGGAGGGUCAUUGGAAACUGGGAAACUUGAGUGCAGAAGAGGAGAGUGGAAUUCCACGUGUAGCGGUGAAAUGCGUAGAGAUGUGGAGGAACACCAGUGGCGAAGGCGACUCUCUGGUCUGUAACUGACGCUGAGGAGCGAAAGCGUGGGGAGCGAACAGGAUUAGAUACCCGUGUAGUCCCUGUCUUUUAUAC
rnacentral:rRNA from 1 species